rnacentral:rRNA from 1 species
GACCCCAGGUCAGGCGGGGCUACCCGCUGAGUUUAAGCAUAUCAAUAAGCGGAGG